ensembl:misc_RNA
UUGACAACUCUGAAAACUGAAGAUCUGAUUUAUGCACAUACCAGAUACAACAUGGGCGGUGUAGGUCAAAGCUGCUUUCACGCUGUUCCAGAUGGUUCAGUCCUGUCCUUUGGGGCCUUGCCUCCAGGGGUGAGAAGAUAGUUCGGGUUCCACUGCCAGAAGUCCUUAGUCUCU